rnacentral:rRNA from 1 species
UACGAAGGGGGCUAGCGUUGCUCGGAAUUACUGGGCGUAAAGCGCACGUAGGCGGCUUCUUAAGUCGGUGGUGAAAUCCUGGAGCUCAACUCCAGAACUGCCUUCGAUACUGGGAGCUCGAGUCCGGGAGAGGUGAGUGGAACUGCGAGUGUAGAGGUGAAAUUCGUAGAUAUUCGCAAGAACACCAGUGGCGAAGGCGGCUCACUGGCCCGGUACUGACGCUGAGGUGCGAAAGCGUGGG